rnacentral:misc_RNA from 1 species
GACAAGCCAAGCCAGCUAAAACUUGUCAACUUGGCGGUGUGAUAGAGUCUCCUGUAAUUAUACAGUUGAACAACCAAUGCCAACGGUUGCAAAUUGCCAUCAAUCUACAUCCAUUAUCAACACCUUUGACUUAUUGUCACUGAAAAUCCUUUUCCACGUUUUUCCCAAAAAAAUCAUUUUCUAUCAAUGUUUACAAUAGUCACUGUUUGCGGCUGCUUGCUUAAAGUAAAACCCUGUAAAGAAUUUCAACAUUUU